rnacentral:sRNA from 1 species
UGCUUCUAGGAAGUAGAGCGCCGGCUCGCAUGCCUGCCCGCCCGCCAGCUUGCCGGAAUGAAACUAGUGAUCGAGAAGAUGGCCUCCCCAAAGGACAUCAUGUGACAGACUCUGAGAAUGAUGAGCCCUUAAAUCUUAAUGCUAGUGACUCUGAAAGUGAGGAGCUUCACAGGCAAAAGGACAGCGACUCUGAAUCUGAGGAACGUGCAGAGCCUCCUGCAAGCGAUUCUGAAAAUGAGGAUGUCAAUCAGCAUGGGAGCGACUCUGAGAGUGAAGAGACCAGGAAAUUACCUGGUAGUGACUCUGAAAAUGAGGAGCUUCUUAAUGGGCAUGCAAGUGACUCAGAAAACGAAGAUGUUGGGAAGCAUCCCGCCAGUGAUUCUGAGAUGGAGGAGCUCCAGAAGAGUCCUGCCAGUGACUCUGAAACAGAAGAUGCUCUAAAACCUCAAAUCAGUGACUCUGAGAGUGAGGAACGCCCAAGGCACCAAGCCAGUGACUCCGAAAAUGAGGAGCCUCCCAAACCUCGAAUGAGUGAUUCUGAAAGUGAGGAGCUUCCUAAACCUCAGGUCAGUGAUUCAGAAAGUGAGGAACCCCCAAGGCACCAGGCCAGUGACUCUGAAAAUGAGGAGCUUCCCAAACCUCGUAUCAGUGACUCAGAAAGUGAGGACCCUCCGAGGCACCAGGCCAGUGACUCAGAAAAUGAAGAGCUUCCCAAACCCCGAAUCAGUGAUUCGGAAAGUGAGGAUCCCCCAAGGAACCAGGCCAGUGAUUCUGAAAAUGAGGAGCUACCCAAACCCCGAGUCAGUGACUC